rnacentral:rRNA from 1 species
AUUAGAGUUUGAUCCUGGCUCAGGAUGAACGCUAGCGGGAGGCUUAAUACAUGCAAGUCGAGCGGUAAGGUUUUCGGACCCUAGAGCGGCGAACGGGUGAGUAACGCGUACGAAACCUACCUUUAAGAGAGGGAUAGCCCUGGGAAACUGGGAGUAAUACCUCAUAGUAUUCAUUUACCGCAUGGUUUAUGGAUUAAAGCUACGGCGCUUAAAGAUGGUCGUGCGUCUGAUUAGCUAGUUGGUAGGGUAACGGCCUACCAAGGCUACGAUCAGUAGGGGGCGUGAGAGCGUGGCCCCCCACACGGGUACUGAGACACGGACCCGACUCCUACGGGAGGCAGCAGUAAGGAAUAUUGGGCAAUGGACGCAAGUCUGACCCAGCCAUCCCGCGUGCAGGACGAAUGCCCUAUGGGUUGUAAACUGCUUUUGUUUGGGAAGAAAUGUAUUCUUUUAAGAGUAUUUGACGGUACCAGACGAAUAAGCACCGGCUAACUCCGUGCCAGCAGCCGCGGUAAUACGGAGGGUGCAAGCGUUAUCCGGAAUCACUGGGUUUAAAGGGUGCGUAGGCGGCCAGAUAAGUCAGAGGUGAAAGUUUCCGGCUCAACCGGGAGAUUGCCUUUGAUACUGUUUGGCUUG